GGCUCCUGUUAGGACCUCCUAAACGGCAAUGACAGUUUUUAAAGGGUCCGAGAGGUGCCAAGGAUUAAUUGGGGCAUCCGUACUCCCCAGAGAAAUGGAAAGAAAAAAAAAAAAAAGGCAAAGGGCAUGUUGAGAACGCAACGCUUAAAGUUACAGAGAUCUUUACCCACUCACCCCCUUCCACCCUCUAAAUUCUCUUCCCACAGAUAGUUCCUGUUCCUCCAAGUUAGUUGCUCGUAAAGAUGUUUUGGCACCUUAAAGCUCGGAACUGUUCGGCGUCGCAGUCCGAGCCCUUCAGCUGACAGCCCAAAAACCUGCCGGGGAGAAAUAGGCCUGUGAAACGCCCACGGAGCCACGGCGGCCACACUGCGCAUGCGUCGGCGACGGGCCCGGGUUUGAGCGCAAUUAAUCUCAGUCCUCAGCUGCACCGGUUGGGCUAAGCUUUGGGACCCUUAGUGGAACAUGACCCCCAGAACUCUAGUGCUGGCUGAGCAGCGCAUUCUCAUUUCUUAAAUUUUGGGGGGGAGGCUCCUAACUUCCCCUUUUACUUCCACUGCCCCUCAAAACCAAAAAUAGUGUUUAAAUUAUUUAUCGCAAAAUAUUGCCACAUUGAACUCUUGCUGCUCUCUGUAAAUGUGGUCCUGGGUCACCGUUUAGAGAUAUAUUCUUUUAAAUUUUGAAAAUAAAAUAUGAAA